CUUGGUGGGGUGGAUGAGUGGCGAACGGGUGAGUAACACGUGAGUAACCUGCCCAUCACUCUGGGAUAAGCGCUGGAAACGGCGUCUAAUACUGGAUACGAGCAGCGACCGCAUGGUCAGUUGCUGGAAAGACUGGUUCGGUGAUGGAUGGACUCGCGGCCUAUCAGCUUGUUGGUGAGGUAAUGGCUCACCAAGGCGACGACGGGUAGCCGGCCUGAGAGGGUGACCGGCCACACUGGGACUGAGACACGGCCCAGACUCCUACGGGAGGCAGCAGUGGGGAAUAUUGCACAAUGGGCGCAAGCCUGAUGCAGCAACGCCGCGUGAGGGAUGACGGCCUUCGGGUUGUAAACCUCUUUUAGUAGGGAAGAAGCCUUCGGGUGACGGUACCUGCAGAAAAAGCACCGGCUAACUACGUGCCAGCAGCCGCGGUAAUACGUAGGGUGCAAGCGUUGUCCGGAAUUAUUGGGCGUAAAGAGCUCGUAGGCGGCUUGUCGCGUCUGCUGUGAAAACCCGAGGCUCAACCUCGGGCCUGCAGUGGGUACGGGCAAGCUAGAGUGCGGUAGGGGAGAUUGGAAUUCCUGGUGUAGCGGUGGAAUGCGCAGAUAUCAGGAGGAACACCGAUGGCGAAGGCAGAUCUCUGGGCCGUAACUGACGCUGAGGAGCGAAAGCAUGGGGAGCGAACAGGAUUAGAUACCCUGGUAGUCCAUGCCGUAAACGUUGGGAACUAGAUGUAGGGCCUGUUCCACGGGUUCUGUGUCGUAGCUAACGCAUUAAGUUCC
rnacentral:rRNA from 1 species